GUCUAUGGCCAUGCCACCCUGAACAAGCCUGAUGUCUGAUCUCGGAAGCUAAGCAGGGUCGGGCCUGGUUAGUACUUGGAUGGGAGACCACCUAGGAAGACCAGGUGCUGUGGGUA
rnacentral:rRNA from 1 species